rnacentral:tRNA from 1 species
UUCCUGGUGGUCUAGUGGUUGAGAUUCAGCACUUUCACUGCUGUGACCCAGGUUCAGUCCCUGGUUGGGAAA